rnacentral:ncRNA from 1 species
AGAGUUCGAUUCCGGAGAGGGAGCCUGAGAAAUAGCUACCACAUCUAAGGAAGGCAGCAGGCGCGUAAAUUACCCAAUUCUAAAGAAGAGAGGUAGUGACAAGAAAUAACAAUGCAAGGCCAAUUUUUGGUUUUGUAAUUGGAAUGGUGGGAAUUUAAAACCUUCCCAGAGUAACAAUUGGAGGGCAAGUCUGGUGCCAGCAGCCGCGGUAAUUCCAGCUCCAAUAGCGUAUAUUAAAAUUGUUGCAGUUAAAACGCUCGUAGUUGAAUUUCAAAGAAUCGAUAUUUUAUUGUAACUAUUCUAGGGGAACUAUUUUAGCUUUUCGCUUUAAUACGCUUCCUCUAUUAUUAUGUUCUUUAAAUAACAAAGAUUCUUUUUAAAAUCCCCACUUUUGCUUUUGCUUUUUGGGGAUUUUGUUACUUUGAGUAAAUUAGAGUGUUCAAAGCAAACAGUUAAAGCAUUUACUGUGUUUGAAUACUAUAGCAUGGAAUAACAAAAUUGAACAAGCUAAAAUUUUUUGUUCUUUUUUCUUAUUUUGGCUUAGUUACGAUUAAUAGGAGUAGCUUGGGGACAUUCGUAUUCAGAUGUCAGAGGUGAAAUUCUUAGAUUUUCUGGAGACGAACAACUGCGAAAGCAUUUGUCUAAAAUACUUCCAUUAAUCAAGAACGAAAGUUAAGGGAGUGAAGACGAUCAGAUACCGUCGUAAUCUUAACCAUAAACUAUGCCGACUAGGUGUUGGAUGAAAGUGUAAAAAUAAAAGUCAUCUUUCGAGGUGACUUUUAGAUUGCUUCCUUCAGUACCUUAUGAGAAAUCAAAGUCUUUGGGUUCUGGGCGAGUAUUCGCGCAAGCGAGAAAGUUAAAAGAUUGACGGAAGGGCACAACCAGGCGUGGAAGCUUGCGGCUUUAAUUUGACUCAACACGGGGAACUCCACUAGUUAAGACAAAGCGAGGAUUGACAGAUAAUAAGCUCUUUCUUGAUUUCUUGAAGGGGAAUGCAUGGCCGUUUUAGUCCGGAAUAUGAUUGCUGGGUAAUCCGAAACGACAGACACUAACCUGCUAUUAGGGCGAGACCCUAAUCUCUAUGAAAUGAACAGGGAACUGCCUUUUGCGGAUCAAUUGGGAUUUUUUAUAAAAUUUCUUCCCUUUCACAAAAAUGGGUUUAACCCUAUCUCCUUCUUAAAA